UGAAGGUGUGCAUGAUUCUCAUUACAGUUU
rnacentral:piRNA from 1 species